GAUGAACGCUGGCGGCGUGCCUAAUACAUGCAAGUCGAGCGAAUGGAUUAAGAGCUUGCUCUUAUGAAGUUAGCGGCGGACGGGUGAGUAAUACGUGGGUAACCUGCCCAUAAGACUGGGAUAACUCCGGGAAACCGGGGCUAAUACCGGAUAACAUUUUGAACCGCAUGGUUCGAAAUUGAAAGGCGGCUUCGGCUGUCACUUAUGGAUGGACCCGCGUCGCAUUAGCUAGUUGGUGAGGUAACGGCUCACCAAGGCAACGAUGCGUAGCCGUCCUGAGAGGGUGAGCGGCCACAAUGGGACUGAGACACGGCCCAGACUCCUACGGGAGGCAGCAGUAGGGAAUCUUCCGCAAUGGACGAAAGUCUGACGGAGCAACGCCGCGUGAGUGAUGAAGGCUUUCGGGUCGUAAAACUCUGUUGUUAGGGAAGAACAAGUGCUAGUUGAAUAAGCUGGCACCUUGACGGUACCUAACCAGAAAGCCACGGCUAACUACGUGCCAGCAGCCGCGGUAA
rnacentral:rRNA from 1 species